ACAACUUUGGGUUAGUGGUUCUCAAACAGUCGCUGAAUAUAAAAUGCGCUACAUGACUAUUGAUUCAAAUCAUUUUUGAUUUAAACACCAAAGCGACAACAUGUCUGUACCAGCAAAUAAAUUUCAAGUUCCACAGACUGAGAAUUGGGACUUAGAAAUAAGCCAGUCCGAGAUGAAAAAAAAUACCAGCAUCGGGGUGGUAACUCCAAAAACGAAAACCGAAGACUGGGAAGCUGAAAUUGCGGUGGCGAAACGUCCUCCAUUCUUUCUCAGCGUGGGCAAAAUAACACAGCGACGUAUAAACCGAAUGCACCGAUGCUGGACCUGUCACUGCGUGCCUGUCAAUUGUCGAUGUGCAAAAUAUUGAAUAAACUUGUUGAAACGUUAA